rnacentral:rRNA from 1 species
CGUACACGUGAGCAACCUGCCUUAGUGUGGGGGAUAGCCGGCCCAACGGCCGGGUAAUACCGCAUACGAUCUCGAAGAGGAGUCUCUUUGAGAGGAAACCUCCGGGGCACUAAGAGGGGCUCGCGGCCUAUCAGCUAGUUGGCGGUGUAAUGGACCACCAAGGCGACGACGGGUAGCUGGUCUGAGAGGAUGGCCAGCCACAUUGGGACUGAGAGACGGCCCAG